rnacentral:tRNA from 1 species
GGGGAGAUACUCAAGUGGUCAACGAGGACAGACUGUAAAUCUGUUGAUUAAUAAUCUUCGUAGGUUCAAAUCCUACUCUCCCCA